rnacentral:rRNA from 1 species
UGGGGAAUAUUGCACAAUGGGCGCAAGCCUGAUGCAGCCAUGCCGCGUGUAUGAAGAAGGCCUUCGGGUUGUAAAGUACUUUCAGCGGGGAGGAAGGGAGUAAAGUUAAUACCUUUACUCAUUGACGUUAUCCGCAGAAGAAGCACCGGCUAACUCCGUGCCAGCAGCCGCGGUAAUACGGAGGGUGCAAGCAUUAAUCGGAAUUACUGGGCGUAAAGCGCACGCAGGCGGUUUGUUAAGUCAGAUGUGAAAUCCCCGGGCUCAACCUGGGAACUGCAUCUAAUACUGGCAAGCUUGAGACUCGUAGAGGGGGGUAGAAUUCCAGGUGUAACGGUGAAAUGCGUAGAGAGCUGGAGGAAUACCGGUGGCGAAGGCGGCCCCCUGGACGAAGACUGACGCUCAGGUGCGAAAGCGUGGGGAGCAAACAGG